rnacentral:rRNA from 1 species
GACGAACGCUGGCGGCGUGCCUAAUACAUGCAAGUCGAGCGGAGCACUUCGGUGCUUAGCGGCGGACGGGUGAGUAACACGUAGGCAACCUGCCUAUAAGACUGGGAUAACUAUCGGAAACGAUAGCUAAGACCGGAUAACUGGUUUUCUCGCAUGAGGGAAUCAUGAAACACGGAGCAAUCUGUGGCUUAUAGAUGGGCCUGCGGCGCAUUAGCUAGUUGGUAGGGUAACGGCCUACCAAGGCGACGAUGCGUAGCCGGCCUGAGAGGGUGAACGGCCACACUGGGACUGAGACAUGGCCCAGGCUCCUACGGGAGGCAGCAGUAGGGAAUCUUCCGCAAUGGGCGCAAGUCUGACGGAGCAACGCCGCGUGAGUGAUGAAGGUUUUCGGGUCGUAAAGCUCUGUUGCCCUAGACGAACAGCAAGGCGAGUAACUGCGCUUUGUGUGACGGUAUAGGAGAAGAAAGCCCCGGCUAACUACGUGCCAGCCGCCGCGGUAAAAC